rfam:Sorghum bicolor cultivar BTx623 chromosome 9, whole genome shotgun sequence.
AUUCCAUGAUGAGGACAUUCCCAAAUGUACUCCUAGAGACGUUCACAUGCUUCAGGAAUGGUCUUUUCUGCCUUUUGAUGCAAGUUGGAAAUUCUUGCCCGCAGAGC